AGCAGACAUUGUGCUCACACAAUGGAUGUUCUCGGCCCAAACACUACUGUGAUGACGUUUAUUAUGGGGUUGACAGUCCCAUUACAAAAACACAGCCAGAGCUGCCAGCCUCUAAAACAGAGACGAGCUCCAAGCUGCACACGUGGUACAGGCGCUCACUCCAGCCCUGAGAGGACAACAGCACUCUGCAGCUAAAGUCCUCUGUAAUCUCAGUUGUAUGUUAACACAUAUUGAGUAUUAAAAAGGUUGCAAUCCAAAUAGCAAAGCCUCCUCAGACCACAGAGGAUCUUGAAGUCCACUAAAGACCACUUCAUGCUAACAGAAUUUGUUGGAAGUGUUUAGGUAGUUGUAGCACUGGAAGCCAUAGAGAAACCAAAGAUCAGCGGAAAAGUUCAAAGACUAUUGUGCUUCUCAAAAAGACAUCCCCUUCCCAAACCUCGAGGAGGCACAAGACAGCUGCUGUGUGAUGUCUUCUCCACACCUCUGACAGAAUUAAACAUGACCACAUGGAGCAGUGGAGCAUCAAAAAAACAGCAGUGUUAUUUGCUGUGGUCUGAAGCACAAAUCCUCCUGUUUGCUGAAUACACUGAGGGUCCUGCCUGAACCCAGGGUACCAGGACAGAGAAACUUAGGGCAAAAGGAAGCAGAUCUCCACAAAGCUUAAUUGGAACUGGCAGCAGCCUCAUGGUAAUGGAGCCUGAGAAGGCAGACGUCAUCUGUGCUGCAGCAGCACCACAAGUGAUGUGCGUCGUGACCGUGUCUACAAGUGUCUUGGUUCGGUUAUUGGUACUCCACAUCAUAAC